GAAAAUAUGGCUCAGUGGUAGAGCACUUGCCUAGCAAGCAUGCAUGAGGCCCUGGGUUUGAUCCCCAGUAAUGUAA
rnacentral:tRNA from 1 species